UAUACGACCGUACCGCAAACCGACACUGGUGCGCGAGAUGAGUAUUCUAAGGCGCUUGAGAGAACUCAGGAGAAGGAACUCGGCAAAUUGACACCGUAACUUCGGAAGAAGGUGUGCCCUAUUAGUGUGUAGUGAACAACGAAGCAUGAAUGGGUUGCAAAAAAUCGGUGGCUGCGACUGUUUAUUAAAAACACAGCACUCUGCAAACACGAAAGUGGACGUAUAGGGUGUGACGCCUGCCCGGUGCUGGAAGAUUAAAUGAUGGGGUGCAAGCUCUUGAUUGAAGUCCCAGUAAACGGCGGCCGUAACAAUAACGGUCCUAAGGUAGCGAAAUUCCUUGUCGGGUAAGUUCCGACCUGCACGAAUGGCGUAACGAUCGCCACACUGUCUCCUCCUGAGACUCAGCGAAGUUGAAAUGUUUGUGAUGAUGCAAUCUCCCCGCGGAAAGACGGAAAGACCCCAUGAACCUUUACUGUAGCUUUGUAUUGGACUUUGAACAGAUCUGUGUAGGAUAGGUGGGAGGCUUUGAAGCAGGGUCGCUAGAUCUUGUGGAGCCAACGUUGAAAUACCACCCUGGUGUGUUUGAGGUUCUAACCUAGGUCCAUUAUCUGGAUCGGGGACAGUGCAUGGUAGGCAGUUUGACUGGGGCGGUCUCCUCCCAAAGCGUAACGGAGGAGUUCGAAUGUACGCUAGUUACGGUCGGACAUCGUGACGAUAGUGCAAUGGCAUAAGCGUGCUUAACUGCGAGACUGACAAGUCGAGCAGAUGCGAAAGCAGGACAUAGUGAUCCGGUGGUUCUGUAUGGAAGGGCCAUCGCUCAACGGAUAAAAGGUACUCUGGGGAUAACAGGCUGAUACCGCCCAAGAGUUCAUAUCGACGGCGGUGUUUGGCACCUCGAUGUCGGCUCAUCUCAUCCUGGGGCUGUAGCCGGUCCCAAGGGUAUGGCUGUUCGCCAUUUAAAGAGGUACGUGAGCUGGGUUUAAAACGUCGCGAGACAGUUUGGUCCCUAUCUUCCGUGGGCGCUGCAGAUUUGAGGAAGCCUGCUCCUAGUACGAGAGGACCGGAGUGGACACACCUCUGGUGUAUCGGUUGUCACGCCAGUGGCAUUGCCGAGUAGCUAAGUGUGGAAGAGAUAACCGCUGAAAGCAUCUAAGCGGGAAACUCGCUUCAAGAUGAGAUCUGCCGGGGCCUUGAGCCCCCUAAAGAGUCGUUCAAGACCAGGACGUUGAUAGGUCAGGUGUGGAAGC
rnacentral:rRNA from 1 species